GGUGAAAUGUACAGAGAAAAUUGGUGAAUUUCACCCAUAUUAUUGGUAAAGUGGCUUUACCAAUUUAUGGGUAAAUAAAUUUACUCAUAUUUGGGUGAAAAUUUUUAACUUUGUUGUUUACAGUUCACAUAAUUUAUUGUUGUUUGUUGCAACUGAAUUAGCUCCCAAAUAAGGUCUCAAAAAACGGUGCGUUCCACGGUUGUUCGGUAAAUUAUUACGACAUGGAUCAUCCAGCACCAGCGACACUAUUACGGUCGUCACACUGGCCGAUCAGGCGGACUAAUCCGACUCACCGUUGUCAUCCUCAAGGCUUUGAGGGAACCAUUUCCCAGCUGAGCGGUACUCUUCGCAAUCGGCAUCUGUUGCAGCAGGACCAGCAAAAGCCGCGGAAACAUCCACAUCAUGUGUAUUUGCGGAGGUAACGGUUCCGUUCUCGAUCAUGCCCAUGAUAGAAGUUCGGCAAGCAUACAGUCGACAAUAGGCUUCCAGCCAUCUACUCAUCAAUCGACUGAUGCCUUUGCUUAACAAACAGCACUACGACCCCUCGGAAUUUGCCGGAAAAAUACCGAAAUGAAACGAAAACCUAUAAAUGACGCGAUUCAAAGGCUAUUUCUAGCUGGAAAUUGUGGAUUAUGUGGAACACCACAACUAGUUGCUUCCUUCAAAUACCGCCAAGUUAGGACGGUUAGUAUGCUCUUCAAAGACCCCACCAGCAGAGCAUCAAACCACAUUCCAGCAGCCCACCUGCUCCUCCCACAGCCGUUACUAAAACCGUUUCACUUUUAGUUGUCUGUCGAGGAAUCAAGGACACAGGACUUGGAAUUGGGACAUGUGAUGAGAUGUAUGUCGACCUCACCAGUAAUCUUUCGCACAGCUUUGCAUGCGAUUCUCAACCAGAUGUGGCUACUGAGGAAAUCGCUCCCGGCUUAAUGGCUGUAAACGCUUUGUAGGUUGCCGCGCCAGCGAUUUCAAAAUUGCAUGAUCAUAUUUUGAACGACCAGGAUUGUACGAUUAUACCUUA